rnacentral:rRNA from 1 species
UACGGAGGGGACUAGCGUUGUUCGGAAUUACUGGGCGUAAAGGGCGCGUAGGCGGCACUGUUAGUCAGGCGUGAAAUUCCUGGGCUCAACCUGGGGACUGCGCUUGAUACGGCAGAGCUUGAGGAUGGAAGAGGGUCGCGGAAUUCCCAGUGUAGAGGUGAAAUUCGUAGAUAUUGGGAAGAACACCGGUGGCGAAGGCGGCGACCUGGUCCAUUACUGACGCUGAGGCGCGACAGCGUGGGGAGCAAACAGG